rnacentral:rRNA from 1 species
UGCCUACGGGGGGCAGCAGUGGGGAAUAUUGCACAAUGGGCGCAAGCCUGAUGCAGCGACGCCGCGUGCGGGAUGACGGCCUUCGGGUUGUAAACCGCUUUCAGCAGGGAAGAAGCUUUUGUGACGGUACCUGCAGAAGAAGCGCCGGCUAACUACGUGCCAGCAGCCGCGGUAAUACGUAGGGCGCGAGCGUUAUCCGGAAUUAUUGGGCGUAAAGAGCUCGUAGGCGGUUUGUCGCGUCUGCUGUGAAAGCCCGGGGCUUAACUCCGGGUGUGCAGUGGGUACGGGCAGACUGGAGUGCAGUAGGGGAGACUGGAAUUCCUGGUGUAGCGGUGAAAUGCGCAGAUAUCAGGAGGAACACCGAUGGCGAAGGCAGGUCUCUGGGCUGUUACUGACGCUGAGGAGCGAAAGCAUGGGGAGCGAACAGGAUUAGAUACCCCUGUAGUCG